rnacentral:rRNA from 1 species
AUACGUAGGGUGCAAGCGUUGUCCGGAAUUAUUGGGCGCAAAGCGCGCGCAGGUGGUUCCUUAAGUCUGAUGUGAAAGCCCCCGGCUCAACCGGGGAGGGUCAUUGGAAACUGGGGAACUUGAGUGCAGAAGAGGAUAGUGGAAUUCCAAGUGUAGCGGUGAAAUGCGUAGAGAUUUGGAGGAACACCAGUGGCGAAGGCGACUGUCUGGUCUGUAACUGACACUGAGGCGCGAAAGCGUGGGGAGCAAACAGGAUUAGAUACCCUGGUAGUCCACGCCGUAAACGAUGAGUGCUAAGUGUUGGGGGGUUUCCGCCCCUCAGUGCUGCAGCUAACGCAUUAAGCACUCCGCCUGGGGAGUACGGUCGCAAGACUGAAACUCAAAGGAAUUGACGGGG